rnacentral:rRNA from 1 species
UACAGAGGUCUCAAGCGUUGUUCGGAUUCAUUGGGCGUAAAGGGUGCGUAGGCGGUUCGUACAGUCAGACGUGAAAUUCCUGGGCUCAACCUGGGGGCUGCGUUUGAUACGUGCGGACUUGAGUGCGGAAGAGGGUCGUGGAAUUCCCAGUGUAGAGGUGAAAUUCGUAGAUAUUGGGAAGAACACCGGUGGCGAAGGCGGCGACCUGGUCCGAUACUGACGCUGAGGCGCGAAAGCGUGGGGAUCAAACAGG